GUCAGAUUAAUUUAACUGGUAAAAUUUGUGAUUUGUAAUCAUACUUUGUUUGUUCGACUCAGACAUCUGGCA
rnacentral:tRNA from 1 species